rnacentral:rRNA from 1 species
GUAGGUGGCAAGCGUUGUCCGGAAUUACUGGGCGUAAAGCGCGCGCAGGCGGUUCUUUAAGUCUGAUGUGAAAGCCCACGGGCUCAACCGUGGAGGGUCAUUGGAAACUGGAGAACUUGAGUACAGAAGAGGAAAGCGGAAUUCCACGUGUAGCGGUGAAAUGCGUAGAGAUGUGGAGGAACACCAGUGGCGAAGGCGGCUUUCUGGUCUGUAACUGACGCUGAGGCGCGAAAGCGUGGGGAGCAAACAGGAUUAGAUACCCUGGUAGUCCACGCCGUAAACGAUGAGUGCUAAGUGUUAGGGGGUUUCCGCCCCUUAGUGCUGCAGCUAACGCAUUAAGCACUCCGCCUGGGGAGUACGGCCGCAAAGGCUG